UGGCGGACGGGUGAGUAACGCGUGGGUAACCUGCCUCAUACAGGGGGAUAACGGUUAGAAAUGACUGCUAAUACCGCAUAAGCGCACAGUACCGCAUGGUACGGUGUGAAAAACUCCGGUGGUAUGAGAUGGACCCGCGUCUGAUUAGCUAGUUGGUGAGGUAACGGCCCACCAAGGCGACGAUCAGUAGCCGACCUGAGAGGGUGACCGGCCACAUUGGGACUGAGACACGGCCCAGACUCCUACGGGAGGCAGCAUG
rnacentral:rRNA from 1 species